AGGAGAGGAGAGGAGAGGAGAGGAGAGGAGAGGAGAGGAGAGGAGGCAGCAAGAAAGGAAAAAGCAUCAAGAAGGGAAUGGAUGGUGUGUACAGAAUUAGGAGGCAGACAAAGAAAUUCUGCUGAGCGUGGGGCAUUACAGUUCCUUGGCAAUUACAAUCAUGCCAUUGUCUUUCGCACAGCAGCUGGAGAUCUCGGAGUCCUUCACAGAGUGGGAAAUGAAGAAGCCACAGCUAUUUUUACCUUGGUUUGAAGAGGGCAGAGAAGCAUCCUCCAGUGUAAAGAGGAGGAAACCAGUUUAAGUCAUCUGCUGAAGGAAUCAGGAAAGAGCAGUAUAAAAGAUAAGGCCUAUUUUUAGUAACACUCUCCUAGUAUUAAAGCUUUGACCGUUUAUUUCAACUUCAUCUCCUCCUCUUCUUCCUCGGAUACCCAGAAGGAUCAGAGGCUCCCUCAGCCCACCUCUCCCUCCUCCUGGUCCAGAGGGCUGUGGCACUUCAGCUGUACAGUGCUACCACCCUCUGGCCACCUUCAACACCACAGUCUUCCACCUGCAGAAGUGCCCAGAACUCAAAUCUUAUCUGCCUCUUACAUCUCUGUGAGGUAAAUGCUGCCUUUCAGAGUACCCAGUAAAGAGGGACAGCUAUUUACACCUUCUGAGGUGUCUCUACACAACACCUGGUUUGACUGCUUGUUUUUGUAAAGAGAUUUCAUCUGGGUGAAGGAUACAAAGGUCAACACCUCCAAAUGUAUUGGUCCUCCACUGGUCCAGAGCAUGUGGCCAGUGGGUUCAUCUCCUCAUGUUCCCCUGUGAGGAGUCACCACCCAUAUUAGAAUGGUGGCUGAUUCCUGCUUUGAGGGUGUCUCCUGUGGGAUGAGACGUUCCUGGGUCAUUUUGAGGUUAAAGUGCUAGAAUGGCACUUCCUGUGGAACCCUGAGCAAGAUACUGUUUCUUUCAGCACCUCGGCUGCAUAGCUGUAAAAUAGAGAUUGUACACCUUAGCUCUUGCACAUGGAUGAUGCUGUGAUGAAUUAAUGAAUGGUUUUGAUAGCAUGGGCAUGAGGAUAUAAACAUGCCAGGUUGCAUAGCAGUCCAUCCAUGCCAUUCUGUACCAGCAUUACCAAUGCUGACACUGCUGCAAGGAUAUUAAUCAGUGAGGGGGUCUUCCGCCCAUCAGAAGCUGCACUGAGACCACUAGCUCAUUUCCCAAGGAGCAGCAAGAUGUUACAGGGUGAGAAGGACUGGAAGAGUGAAAAACAAUUUGUGAUCAAAGCCCAAAGUACUUUGUAAUAGGCGAGCUGGUUUUUGUAUUGCUACUGCGUCAGCAGACUAGAUUUAUUUUACUGAAAAAUUCCCAACUUUUCAUAUUUUAUCCAAGAACAUAUGUGAUGAAAACAGGUGUAGAGAGAAAAACAGUCACAGAAGCAAAAAGGUGGCUUCAAAGAGCACAUUCCAGCAUUAUGCUUCUUUUGUGGCAAGCAAAUCAUGUUUUUUUCAACCGUGAUAGGACAAGGAAGUGUGAGGAGUGUAAGUGACAGAGUGCUUUCUUGUAGAAUCGUACCAGCUUUAUAGUUCUGUAGGAAUGGUAGAGGAUCACUCUGGCCAUGUCCUGUUUGAAGGAACAGUGAAAACGUCCGUUGUUCUUUAUUGUUUCCUUUUUACAGCCUCUCCUUACAAGUGACAGGUUGGCACACUCUUUCCAGCAAGUGUUGUGGGUAAGGCUACAAGAAGGGCUUCAGCUGUAUAGUGCUCACUGGGACUUCACCCAAGCUCCUCAUGUGCACUCCAAAAUCUCUUUGAAGAUGCUAUUAGGCUUGUGACAGCAGCAUACAGGUGGGAGCCAAGUGGAAGCGUACAGGAUCAUAUCCCUGUGACACUGUGAAGAACCUAGUUUGGUUAGAUGUCAGAAAUGGCCAUUUCAGUAGGUAAGAAUUUAGCUGCCCCAGUAAGUCAUUUUAGCUUAUAUGUAGAUUUUUCUGCUGGUAGAGGAAUUCAUGCUGGAAAGUGUGGGCUUUCUUCCUUGAUGCAAUAAUACUAUGGUGCAACCUUUUAUGUGGACACCAGUGUUCCAAGGAAACUGUAUCCAUAGUGUAUGGUCUUUUUAUUUUUUCUCCUGAUAAUGACUAUGUAGGCAUUUGGAUUUUUAUACAGGUGUUUGCAAAUCCAAAUUAGAAGGUUUAACUACUGCUCCAACAACAGGGUAGUUAAAGUCCUGCGAUUUCUACAUGUAGACAACCCUUGAGUGCCAGCAAUGCUAUUUCACAGGUUCAAAGUGGAAAGACUGUUUAGAGCUCCAUUGUAUCUUACAAACAGUGUCCCAUUUUGUAGCAGUUGAAGUGUCCUUGGGAAAGGGAACUAUUCUGUGUCCCCCAACCUGAAUUCCCCACCAGAAACAGGUCUGAUUCAAACAGCUGAUCAAAAAUUCAGAUCUAGUGUUGCUAGUACUAUAAGUUCUCACUGAUCAAGAAUCACUUUGUUUAGAGAGCGUCUAUAUAGUCCUGCGAGGCUGGCAUUAGAAAGCAAUGGAAAUGAGGACUGGUUUGUUACGUUCUCUCCCUUACAGGCCUGAGAAAAUCUCAGAAAGCAAAAGUUCCCAAGCAGCCAAUUUCUGUGUGGUCACAUUCAGACACUGUACUUGCAGUCUUUCUCAAGAGGAAUAUAAAAAUAUAAGAAUGACUAUACUGUCUCAGAACAAGGAUCCAUCUUGUGCAGCAUCUUAUUUCCAACAGUCCAUAAACAGACCCCCAGGGAAGAGUAAUAACAGGUGAAGCACAUGUGAUGCUUCCCCUGAGUUACUUCCCAGGCUCAGGGCAUCUUCCAAGCCUCAUGUAAUUUGUCAGUAACCCUCAAUGCAUUUUCAUUCCAAGUGGUUGGCUAGUUGCUUCUUGAGCUUCUGUAAAGCUUUUGGAUGUACCUCACACUUUAGCAAGGAAUGCCACAGGUUUACCAACACCUGCAUGACCUGCAUUUGUUUCUUCCCAGCCUGGCUCUAUCAUCUGAUGGCCCCUGGCUCUUGUAGUGAAAAAGCUAAUGAAGAGUAGCUUUUUUCACAAUGUCAAUGGCUUUCAUGGUUAAUAUAGACCCCUAUUAUAUCCCUUUGCCCUUUCCAGGGACACCAGGCAUACUUCAGCAUCCCAGUCUGCCAGGACCUGGUUUCAUUACCAGAGCUUGUGGAGCUGAAGAGACAUAAACUCAAACACUGGCUUAUCAUAUAUUGUUGCUUACACACCAGGCAGCCACUUGCACUGUGGGAAGAAAACCUAUCCAAAUACAGUGAUAGUUUUAUGCACAAUUGCUAUUCACUGUACCAAGGACACUGUACCAUAUGUAUGUUAUCUCAUAUAUAACAGUGUACCAAGUAGGUCCGUAGUUUCCAACAGGUUAAUGUGGAUAUAAUGAAGAUCAACACCAGUUUCACUUUUUACAAAUUUGGAUCAUUCCAUGAAGAGCACAGAGACUGUAGCCACUUGUGACACAUACAGACAUAAAUUAUUUCUUUCUUUAAAAAUCCGUUUCUCUUUCCUCCUCUUCCAGAGGCGGGCCCUUGUAUAGAUGUGUAACUUUGUAUGUGCUAGGCUAACAUUAAAAAAAUGCUUGACUUAAGUUCAUAGAUAUAAAUUAAUCUCUAUCCAUAUCUGAAUGCCAAACAGCUCACAUUUUUAUCCAAUUAAAACCAAGCAACUUUCAAAGCAGCAGCUCUCGACACAUCAGAACUCGUCUUUCCCUUUUUCACCUCCACCCAUGAGAGAAAUCCUGGCUACCUGCCCAGAUGAAGAAGGAGCCACGGCAAAAUGAGGCACCUUGCAUCAUGCUUUUCAAUGGUCAAAACUGGCUUAUCACAGGCUGUGAAAAUGAAUGAAUUUCAAAGUUGAAAGAACUUUGUAGAAAGACUGUGCUUUAUCCUUGGUUCUUCUCUGGGGACCAACAGAAAGUGUAUGUCUUCAGGUGGCGAUAUUUGUGGCAAUUGAAGCUAUUGGCUCUUUAUGCCAUGGUUUGACUUUGAAGGCACUGCUGCUGAAGUCAUUUUCUACUGGUGGUUAUAUGAUGCUACUAGUCCUAGUCCUGUAAAUAAAAUUAAGUUCACCAGCAAAACUUCUGAUAAAAGAGA